GAAAAAGUGAAUAUUAUUGGCUUAGUAGUUAAAUAUUUUGUUUUUCUUUAAAUUUAGAAUUUUUAGGUGAAAUUUUAAUUUUAUUAUAAUAGAAUUUUAUUGAAGCUACGAAAUUUAUGUUAAAAACAAGGAUUAGAUACCCUUUUAUUUUAAAUGUUAAUAUAAGCCUGGGUAUUAAUAGUUAUGUUCUUGAAACCCAAAGAAUUUGGCGGUAUUUUAUUCUUUUUAGAGGAACCUGUCCUGUAAUUGAUAAUCCACGAUAGGAGUUACUUAUUUUUGCUUUCAUUUUGUAUACCUCCGUCAUCAGAGUAUCCUUUUAGGGAUUAAUAUUCUUAAUAUACAAAAUAUUAUAUGUCAGGUCAAGGUGCAAUUUAUAAAUAAGUAGAGAUGGGUUACAAUAAAUUUAUUUAAACGGAUUAUUAAUUUUAAUUUUAAUAUGAAGGUGGAUUUAAAAGUAAAAUUAUUUUAUUCAUUAAUUUGAUUAUAGCUCUAAAAUAUGCACACAUCGCCCGUCGCUCUUAUUUUAAAAUAAGAUAAGUCGUAACAUAGUAGGUGUACCGGAAGGUGCUCCUAGAAAGGA
rnacentral:rRNA from 1 species